rfam:Lupinus angustifolius cultivar Tanjil chromosome LG02, whole genome shotgun sequence.
AAGUGCCAUCAUAUUAGCACUAAUGCACCGGAUCCCAUAAGAACUCCACAGUUAAGUGCGCUAGGGCGAGAGUAGUACUAGGAUGGGUGACCUCCUAGGAAGUCCUCGUGUUGCACCUC